rnacentral:lncRNA from 1 species
CGUCUAGUUGAAUUUCUUUAAGAUCAAGUGUAAGAAAAUCUACUGGAUAGAUAUAUUUAGAAAGUUUUCAAGGUAAAUGCAAAAUUGGAACAAACGGAAAAUUUUGAGUCAAGGUGUGAGGCAAUAAAAUUUCGGGUUCAUGGCAACCAAAUAAACUAAGAUGAAAAUACCAAACUAACCACCGAAUUUCAGAUUAAAUACCAUGCAACCAAGACCCAAUCAUUAGAAAUUUAACAAACAAACUGGGUGCUUGGGGAAUUAAAACCAAUUGGAGGUCAACUAACUAGCUAUUAGACCAAACGGUAGAGAGGAAAUAAGUGGAAUUUGGCUGCUGACAUGGGACGGUGGGUAGCUCUCGUCUGGACAGCUGCCCUGAAGGAAUCUGCUGAGUAUGCAGUGACCGAAUGAGGUGAACAUUGGAUUGAUCAGCACCGAAUGAAGAAGCUUGAGUGGUCGGUGGAGUGAAGGAAAUAUGUUCAAAUGCUCUUCUUACCAACCAAGCAUUGGAAACCAAAUCGAGAGUGAGAGUUUCGGUCAUAACCAUUCAUGCCAAAACACCACCGAGUGAGAAAUAUUUCUAGUUCCUCUUGUCCAGCUUGCAACCGAGAGAGAGUGUGUGUGUGAGGGAGAGAGUGCUAGCUUUAUCUCUCCAGCUCGCAACCUCAUAACCGUGAGUCAAAGUGAAUGAGAGGGAGAGAAAUCUUGUUAGCUGCAUCAUCCACCAGUUUUAACCGAGAGUGAAAGUGACGUAAGGAAGGAGAAGGAGAGAGUUGGAACGGAAACUUUGAGGAGCCGCAACAGAAAGCUAAGAGUAACCUGCAAUUACCGAAUUCUAAAGGAAAGAGGAACUCAUUUUUGGCCUCUUUCAACUGUGAGAACCAGCCACAAAGAAAGAAGGAAUGCAGUCUAUCGAGUCUAGGAUGGGAGAGUGGAACCAGAAUUUUAUUUUCUUAACUUAGGCCAUAAGAACCAGAGGUAAACUACUGUCCUCCUCUUCCAGUUCUUCCACGUUUAGUUAGUAGUCUUUUAGACUGAGUUGGAACCAAGUAAAAGAAAACUUUCUGGAAAACAAAGGUUAUCAAAGCUGGAAAUGUUAGUUUGAAGCUGCUGUGUGAUACUUGAUGAGCUAAUCUGCAAUUUUCCAGUUGUAUCUUCUGUUGCAUGUCUCACAUACAUUUUCUGGUCACAUAUCUUAACAUGGAUAUCACCUUUGAGAGGUUAAAAGCAAGGAAAAGAUGAAUUAAAAGCAGGAACAUUGUUGGAAAUUUUAUUGAGGACCGUAGGAAGAAAACUUGCUGGAAUUUUCCAGCUCUAUCCGAGAGAAGGAAAUGAAGAGGUUUCUAACUGUCCUCAUGAAUUAUGGCCUUGAAUCUCUAUGUUAAACUGUAGUAUAUGAUGUAUAAUAGCUGGUCUGAACAUGCAUGGAAGAUUUGAGCAAGAACUGAAGUGAUUAUUGGAGAGAAAAUAGUGUUGAGUGAUUGCUGCAACAAUUCUGGAAAAAAAUGCAGAAGGAAGAAGAUCGUGAGCUGAACCAGUAUUGUUCUGAUUUCCCUUGGCUAUAAACUUGUAUUCAUGCUGAUGGUACUCUGUAGUUUGAUAACCAACCUUUGCAUGUGGAAUUUAAUGAACAAAACUGAAAGAAAUUAGGGAGGAAAAACUAUGAACUGCGUUGUUAAUUGCUUCACAACUGAGUGAGUGAAGCAGGAUGGGCUUCCGUCCGGCCAUUUUUGACUAUGACAAUGUGAAAACUGGAUGUUGGUGUCUUCACAAGAAAUGUAGGUCUAUAUUUUAGCUUCGAAACGCUAUAAAGUUUGCCUCAAUCCGAUAAGCAUAGCUCUAGUUAUGAUUGAAAUACCAGAGGAUGGCAAAGCUGCCUUCCUCGUUGCCUUUCCUUUUGUUUCGCAUGCAUACAGCUUUGAUAAUGGCCGUGAGGAAACCAACUUUUAACUAACGUUUCUUCUAAUUUCCAAUCUUGUAAGCUUUCAUAAAUGAUAGCUAUGAUUGUGCUGAGAUUUAAUCGCUAUACCUAGUUCCACGAGUAGAGUUAGACUAAGGCAAUUGAGUGAAAAGUCACGAUAGUUAUAUACGUAAAGUGGCUUCUAAUUAUUUAAUAUUAUUUUCACGAAUAUUUUUAAAGGCUAUUAAAUUUUGGGACUGGUAUAGUGAAAAAAAACUUAAUUUCCAAAUAACUUAGAGUCUAAUUAAUAAAAGGGAACCAAGGGAAUACUUCUAAACCUUAAUUUUGGAAUCUUGAGUGGAAAAUGAUUUAAAUCCUAAAAUAAAUAUCUUAUGAAUUAUUAACUUGUCCAGGAUGUAGCUGUGAGCCAAGAAACAAACCCGAGGCUCAAGAGUAAUUUACUUGGAUAAUUGGUGAGUGUUUUCCGAAUUUAUGUAUUAAACUGCUUAUGUGUACCUAAAUGCAAUUAUAUGGCAAAUGUGUUUAUUAUGAAAUAUUGCUAAGUGAUUCAUUGUGAAGUGUUUUCAAUUGUCCCUCGCCUUUUAAGUCCAGAGUGUACUUUAUCGCACUCGUCUUAGUUGAGCUUGAAGGUCGAUAAUUGAUCGAGUGAUAUUAUAAGUGUGCAUGACUGUAAGCCGUGUGUGUACUUUAUCACACCGGCUGAACUGGGCCCCAAAACCCUCUGUUCAACGUACUAUUCGAGCCAGCAAAGGGUUUGGUCGGGUAGGACGGUAGUUUUGAGUAAGUGUUUCGGUAUGCUCGAGUAUUACCACGGAGUAGCAGAUUAUUGAUAUUGAUAUGGCCAUCCAAGUGAGGGAAAUGUUUAUUGUUUUGGAGGUUAUAAGGAAGAGUUCGGCGGAGUGUGUAGUGCAUUGAAGUGGCUCUAAUGCGAGCACCGUAUCCUUUUAAAAGUGAUUGUUCAGUGAAGCGUUUCCUCAAUUGCUAAUGAAAGUGAUUGUACAGUGAAAUGUGCACUACUUGUUUAUUUGUAUUGAUUCAUGUGAUUAUUAAAUGUUACUUGCAUGGAAACCUCACGGGCGUAAGCUCACCUUUUUAGCUUUGUUUUCCUUACAGGAGUUGGAGAUUGAAAAGUGAUUGGAUGGAAUUGGAAAGUUAUUUUUGGAAAUCCCAUCACUAUGUGUGUAUAUUGGAGUCACGUUUUCUUUCGUAUUUUAAGAUGGUUGAAUCUUUUGUUUUGAGUUGAUGUAAUAUUAAGAAUGGAUGUUUAGAACGUGUAUUUUUUUUCCUUUUAGUGGACAAAUCUAUGUUUCAAGCUGAUUGGAGUGGUACUUAAGAGUGAAUGUUCAGUUGUCCAAUGGUAAUGUUAUCUCUGAAGUUAAUGGGAGUGAGUGAGUCCUGGCGAGAGCCAGGCAGGCGAUCCGCUAACUUCUAGGGUAUGCCCUAGGAGAAGGUGGGGUCGUCACAGGUGAUAUCAGAGCUCUUAAUGAGCUCAUGCCAGGAGAAGGUUCUUGGAUUGUGGGGAGUGGCCUGUUAACUGUGAAAUGAACUAUCAUUAUUGAGGAAAAAUUAGAUACGUAUAUCGGGUAGGAAUCUCAAAUAUGGAUGAUUUACUCUUGGAACCGGCCGGCUUGAGUUGUGAAUUAUCCUAUUUUCGGAUUCUUGUAUCCGAGUACUAAAUAUUUUAUACAUUCGUGUAUUUGCAAAUUGGCAGGAGUUAGUAUAUUGCAUUAUGAAGUGAAUAGGAAUCGUGAUUAAAUUUGGGGAAGUGGAAUCGAAGAGACUAAGGCUAGCUUUGAGAGUUAAAGGUGAAAAGACAGUAGUGAGAUCUUGAAGAUUGGUGCAAAUCCUCCAUCUUAAGGUGAAUAACUUUACUAGUCUUUCGAUAGUAAAUGAAUUAUAUACCAUCUAUUGCCCAAAAAUGUGGUUUUCAGACAUGAAAUUUAAGUGAAAUAAUAGUUCAAGUAAGGAUUCUAGAUCUGUAAACUGAUAUGAUAGAGGAGCAAGAGUGAACUAAUGCAAUGCAUGAUCAGUUGCAGGAGACUAAGGACCGCCUUGUUUGGGUACCAAGAUAGGCAAGGGAUAAAAUUGAAGAGAUUUUGGCAGAAUGUAGCUCGUGAUUGAAGAGGUUGUGGGAAAUUUGGAUAGGAAAAAAAAUCCAAAAGAAAAAGCUCUUAGGGUUGAAAAUAAAGUUGAACCAACUAAAGAGACUGGAUCUGCCAGCUCUAUUAUGGACUGACCCAAUAAAUCACUUGAUUAAAACUUUUGCAUGGACGAUUGAGUUGGAACUUUGUCAUGUUUUUACGGAUACUAAAUUUUCUUAUACCAAAUACUUGUUUGACUUCUUAUUAAAGUGUACUUGAACUUGAUAUAUGUUGUAAUUGACCUUGUUAUGUGAUAUACUUUAAUUGAUCAUGAAUCGCUUAAUAGUAACGAUAUGUAUGGAGUGAAUGUGUUUCUGGGUUAUAGUUAACCACAAUUGUAUUCAUGCAUAAUUGAUUAUUACAUGUUUGUUAAUAGACUAGUUGUGAGAGAUAUAGAGUUUAGGGAGUGAUAACGUCAGGGUUAUGAGGUUAUCUUUGGUGAAGAUUGUUUAAUUAAGUAUAACACCCAGUUAAAUUGUGAAUUAAAGUAGUUGAGUUUUAUAUACUUGGGGAUGUAGUCGAUACAACACUUAAAUUGCAGAGGGAAAACGCCAAGACCAAAUUUAUUUGGUUAAGGCUUUGUGGAAAACAUGAAUGAUUAGACGAAGUGAUGUGGAAAUGAAAGAUAAAAUACGGAAAGAAUACUCGAAACUUUUUACAAUUCAAAGUGUGAAAUUUCGAGGACGAAAUUUUAUUAAAGGGGGAAGAAUGUGAUAAUUCGAGAGAAAUCUUGAAUAAACUUAGCCAUUAUUACCCUUAUUUCAUCAUUUGAAAUAUUAUAGAUAACAAAUAAUUGGUCAAAUUAAAUGACAAAAUUUAAUUGUUCAAUAAAUUGAGGAUUUAGCAAUAUCCUAGAAUAGUGUAGGAAAACAUAUAUAUAUAUUUAACAAGAAGAAUUUAUUCUAAAUAUUAGUUACACGAAUCAAAUAAACAUCCGAUAUGCAUAUUACCGUUUGUGACCUUUGAAUAUAUUAAAUAGUGGAAUAAGUGAUACGUCUAGUUGAAUUUCUUUAAGAUCAAGUGUAAGAAAAUCUACUGGAUAGAUAUAUUUAGAAAGUUUUCAAGGUAAAUGCAAAAUUGGAACAAACGGAAAAUUUUGAGUCAAGGUGUAAGGCAAUAAAAUUUCGGAUUCAUGGCAACCAAAUAAACUAAGAUGAAAAUACCAAACUAACCACCGAAUUUCAGAUUAAAUACCAUGCAACCAAGACUCAAUCAUUAGAAAUUUAACAAACAAACUGGGUGCUUGAGGAAUUAAAACCAAUUGGAGGUCAACUAACUAGCUAUUAGACCAAACGGUAGAGAGAAAAUAAGUGGAAUUUGGCUGCUGACUUGGGACGGUGGGUAGCUCUCGUCUGGACAGCUGCCCUGAAGGAAUCUGCUGAGUAUGCAGUGACCGAAUGAGGUGAACAUUGGAUUGAUCAGCACCGAAUGAAGAAGCUUGAGUGGUCGGUGGAGUGAAGGAAAUAUGUUCAAAUGCUCUUCUUACCAACCAAGCAUUGGAAACCAAAUCGAGAGUGAGAGUUUCGGUCAUAACCAUUCAUGCCAAAACACCACCGAGUGAGAAAUAUUUCUGAUUCCUCUUGUCCAGCUUGCAACCGAGAGAGAGAGAGAGUGAGGGAGAGAGUGCUAGCUUUAUCUCUCCAGCUCGCAACCUCAUAACCGUGAGUCAAAGUGAGUGAGAGGGAGAGAAAUCUUGUUAGCUGCAUCAUCCACCAGUUUUAACCGAGAGUGAAAGUGACGUAAGGAAGGAGAAGGAGAGAGUUGGAGCGGAAACUUUGAGGAGCCGCAGCAGAAAGCUAAGAGUAACCUGCAAUUACCGAAUUCUAAAGGAAAGAGGAACUCAUUUCUGGCCUCUUUCAACCGUGAGAACCAGCCACAAAGAAAGAAUGAAUGCAGUCUAUCGAGUCUAGGAUGGGAGAGUGGAACCAGAAUUUUAUUUUCUUAACUUAGGCCAUAAGAACCAGAGGUAAACUACUGUCCUCCUCUUCCAGUUCUUCCACGUUUAGUUAGUAGUCUUUUAGACUGAGUUGGAACCAAGUAAAAGAAAACUUUCUGGAAAACAAAGGUUAUCAAACUUGGAAAUGUUAGUUUGAAGCUGCUAUGUGAUACUUGAUGAGCUAAUUUGCAAUUUUCCAGUUGUAUCUUC